rnacentral:rRNA from 1 species
AACGAACGCUGGCGGCAGGCUUAACACAUGCAAGUCGAGCGCCCCGCCAGGGGAGCGGCAGACGGGUGCGUACCGCGUGGGAACGUACCUUUUGGUUCGGAACAACUCCGGGAAACUGGAGCUAAUACCGGAUAAGCCCUAACGGGGAAAGAUUUAUCGCCGAAAGAUCGGCCCGCGUCUGAUUAGCUAGUUGGUGAGGUAACGGCUCACCAAGGCGACGAUCAGUAGCUGGUCUGAGAGGAUGAUCAGCCACACUGGGACUGAGACACGGCCCAGACUCCUACGGGAGGCAGCAGUGGGGAAUAUUGGACAAUGGGCGCAAGCCUGAUCCAGCCAUGCCGCGUGAGUGAUGAAGGCCUUAGGGUUGUAAAGCUCUUUUGUCCGGGAAGAUAAUGACUGUACCGGAAGAAUAAGCCCCGGCUAACUUCGUG